AACUGAGGUGCUCGUGAAAGCAGAUUGAGUGUUUUGUGGGGAGAUAAAAGGUCACUGGAGAUCUCACGAGCUCCAGUCUAGGAAGAAUGGAAAAGAUCCAGAAAGUAUCAUUCUUGGUCCUCACUCUUCACCUAGCAUGGGUGAGUGGUCAGCAAAAGGGGAGGUCUGACCAGCAGCAGGUGAGACAAAGCCCCCAAUCUCUGACAGUCUGGGAAGAAGAGACUUCAGUUCUGAACUGCACUUAUGAGAACAGCGCAUUUGACUACUUCCCAUGGUACCGGCAGCUCCCUGGUGAAGGACUUGAAUUCCUGAUAACCAUAAAUUCAGUGUCAAAUAAAAAGGAAGAUGGAAGAUUCACAGUCUUCUUCAAUAAAAGUGAUAGACAGCUCUCCUUGCACAUCACAGAUUCUCAGCCUGGAGACUCAGCCACCUACUUUUGUGCAGCAAGUACACAGUGCUCUCCAGGCACCUGCAGCCCACACCAAAACCUGCAGCUGUGCUCCAGCAAAGCCCUGCUGUGGGUCUGAGCCUGGCAGAAGUGCAAAGGAGUUUUCAUCUGCAGUGUCAGAUGACUGGUAAUGCAGUGAACUUAAGGAUUAUACUCAUUCAGGCCACAGACAGACCAAGGUGGCUUCACGGUUUG